UACAGAGGGUGCGAACGUUGCUCGGAAUUACUGGGCGUAAAGCGCGUGUAGGCGGUCCGUUAAGUUGGUAGUGAAAUCCCAUGGCUCAACCAUGGAAGUGCUGCCAAAACUGGCGGGCUGGAGUGCCGGAGAGGGUGGCGGAAUUCCCAGUGUAGAGGUGAAAUUCGUAGAUAUCGAGAGGAACACCGGUGGCGAAAGCGGCCUUCUGGACGAGGACUGACGCUGAGAUGCGAAAGCGUGGGGAGCAAACAGG
rnacentral:rRNA from 1 species